ACGGGAGGCAGCAGUGGGGAAUAUUGGGCAAUGGGGGAAACCCUGACCCAGCAACGCCGCGUGAAGGAAGAAGGCUUUCGGGUUGUAAACUUCUUUUAUCAGGGACGAAGAAAGUGACGGUACCUGAUGAAUAAGCCUCGGCUAACUACGUGCCAGCAGCCGCGGUAAUACGUAGGUGGCGAGCGUUAUCCGGAUUUACUGGGUGUAAAGGGCGCGUAGGCGGGGAUGCAAGUCAGACGUGAAAUCCAUGGGCUUAACCCAUGAACUGCAUUUGAAACUGUAUCUCUUGAGUGUCGGAGAGGUAGACGGAAUUCCUAGUGUAGCGGUGAAAUGCGUAGAUAUUAGGAGGAACACCAGUGGCGAAGGCGGCUUACUGGACUGUAACUGACGUUGAGGCUCGAAAGCGUGGGGAGCAAACAGGAUUAGAUACCCUGGUA
rnacentral:rRNA from 1 species